UAUAGGCGGCGGAGACAGGAAUGGAGCCAAGGCGGCAGAGGCAGGAGGAGGGAGGGAAACU
rnacentral:sRNA from 1 species